UAGACACACUGUCCUAUUGGAUUAUGAGUACUAAUGCAGUAUUUGGUAUAAUAAUUGGAUGCAUGGUUUCAAAGGGACCACAGAACAAAUCAGAGGCCCAUCCCUGCGCACCAAUGGCCUGUCUCUCAUUUCAGAUGGAGAUUGAAGGGCACGUCUGCUCCGGGGGCGCCCACCGCCCUGAGGGCCUCUGCGUCUCCCCUGCGUGAGAGCUGGACCGCUACACGCACCAAAAAACCCGUCGACCCCCGCAAUCGGCUGUCUGUCUGGACCCGCUGUCGAAUACUCCCCGCUGGACACACACAGACACAGACGCACAGUCGGACGGGGCGAGCACUGCUUGGCCAUGGGGCGCGAUGAUAACAAAAAAAUAUUGCGGGCGUCCGUGUCUUCACAGCGGACUGCCCUCCCCCACCACCACCACCACCACCAUUACCACCACCAGACUGGAUCCGACGGGGGACCGCAGGGCCCUCGCAGCAACAUUUUUGCCGUGAGGGAGAGGAGCAGAGAAGUUACCGCCUCUGCUCCUGAGGCAGAGCCGCCGGCAGCUUAGAGAGACCAAGAGGCAACAGCGAACAAGAGAGAUUAGCCACAGACCCCACAGUGGCCCCAACCAUACCUCCAUACGUCCCUCCCACGAACAGGCCGAC